rnacentral:misc_RNA from 1 species
AACGCACAUUGCACCUCUUGGUAUUCCUUGAGGUAUGCCUGUUUGAGCGCCGUUUGACAUUCCUAAAGCUUUGCUUUGUGUUGAAUCUUGUGCUCCGUAAUGGAAUACAGAUUUCAAAUAAAUCUGCCCAAUUUCUUGUAGCAAUAGCAGCAAAAGUGCUUUUUGUAACAAUGAAAAAUUGGGCAUGUCAAUCGAUCGCAUGGCCUCAAAUCAGGUAGGGCUACCCGCUGAACUUAA